rnacentral:rRNA from 1 species
GCUUCUCUGAUGUUAGCGGCGGACGGGUGAGUAACACGUGGGUCACCUACCUAUAAGACUGGGAUAACUCCGGGAAACCGGGGCUAAUACCGGAUAAUAUUUUGAACCGCAUGGUUCAAUAGUGAAAGACGGUUUCGGCUGUCACUUAUAGAUGGACCCGCGCCGUAUUAGCUAGUUGGUAAGGUAAUGGCUUACCAAGGCGACGAUACGUAGCCGACCUGAGAGGGUGAUCGGCCACACUGGAACUGAGACACGGUCCAGACUCCUACGGGAGGCAGCAGUAGGGAAUCUUCCGCAAUGGGCGAAAGCCUGACGGAGCAACGCCGCGUGAGUGAUGAAGGUCUUCGGAUCGUAAAACUCUGUUGUUAGGGAAGAACAAAUUUGUUAGUAACUGAACAAGUCUUGACGGUACCUAACCAGAAAGCCACGGCUAACUACGUGCCAGCAGCCGCGGUAAUACGUAGGUGGCAAGCGUUAUCCGGAAUUAUUGGGCGUAAAGCGCGCGUAGGCGGUUUCUUAAGUCUGAUGUGAAAGCCCACGGCUCAACCGUGGAGGGUCAUUGGAAACUGGGAAACUUGAGUGCAGAAGAGGAGAGUGGAAUUCCAUGUGUAGCGGUGAAAUGCGCAGAGAUAUGGAGGAACACCAGUGGCGAAGGCGGCUCUCUGGUCUGUAACUGACGCUGAUGUGCGAAAGCGUGGGGAUCAAACAGGAUUAGAUACCCUGGUAGUCCACGCCGUAAACGAUGAGUGCUAAGUGUUAGGGGGUUUCCGCCCCUUAGUGCUGCAGCUAACGCAUUAAGCACUCCGCCUGGGGAGUACGACCGCAAGGUUGAAACUCAAAGGAAUUGACGGGGACCCGCACAAGCGGUGGAGCAUGUGGUUUAAUUCGAAGCAACGCGAAGAACCUUACCAAAUCUUGACAUCCUUUGACCGCUCUAGAGAUAGAGUCUUCCCCUUCGGGGGACAAAGUGACAGGUGGUGCAUGGUUGUCGUCAGCUCGUGUCGUGAGAUGUUGGGUUAAGUCCCGCAACGAGCGCAACCCUUAAGCUUAGUUGCCAUCAUUAAGUUGGGCACUCUAGGUUGACUGCCGGUGACAAACCGGAGGAAGGUGGGGAUGACGUCAAAUCAUCAUGCCCCUUAUGAUUUGGGCUACACACGUGCUACAAUGGAUAAUACAAAGGGCAGCGAAUCCGCGAGGCCAAGCAAAUCCCAUAAAAUUAUUCUCAGUUCGGAUUGUAGUCUGCAACUCGACUACAUGAAGCUGGAAUCGCUAGUAAUCGUAGAUCAGCAUGCUACGGUGAAUACGUUCCCGGGUCUUGUACACACCGCCCGUCACACCACGAGAGUUUGUAACACCCGAAGCCGGUGGAGUAACCUUUUAGGAGCUAGCCGUCGAAG